rnacentral:lncRNA from 1 species
GCCGCGGCGAGCUGUGCUUCCGGCGGGGCUAUGGAGGCAUCGGGCUGGGCAGGCGAAUUUUGGGGAGGAGGUGGCGUGCGCUCUGCCAAUUCGUCGCCGUGCUUAACUGCUUGUGGCUUGGGGAACGCAACGAAGGAAAAUUUUUUGAGGGUCGUAUAAGGAACUGGUAUUUGUUUUGGUGUCAUAUAAGGAAUUCUGUCUAGCAGCUUUGGUAUCCUCUUCGUAAUCAUUUGUGUUUUCCAUGUAACCCAUCACAGUAGCCUCAUUUGCCAACCCGAGUAAAAGUUCUCAUCAAUAUUGAAAUGUAACUCAAAGGAAAGUAUGC